rnacentral:lncRNA from 1 species
UCCUUUCCUCUACUCUCCUCCCUCCCGCUCUGACUGUGAGAAUGCCCGUGCUGUACUGACAGAAACGAUACGGGCUUAGCAGACAUGGAGGCCCGAUUAAUGAGAGAGGCCCAUUCCGACGCGUCUGAGCUCGACUAACGCGGACCCGGAGAGGGAUUCGGGCGUCACAUCGGAUUAUCACGGUUUGAAGGUGAGAGGGCUGGGCACUUGGGAAGGGACGACAUUGCUUCAACCCAACAAGGAUAUUUUUACAACCUCUGCUUUUCCCCCCUUCCCCUCCAUUCCACUUCUUUCUUCCUACCUGACAUCUGCACAGUUCUCCAGUACCUACCUAUACCUGCGAGUGAGAACAUCCUGUCCCACUCAAGCCCCCCUUGUUCCCCAAAUCACCAAUGGAUCAGAGGACACAGGGGGGGCCCUCUACACCGCCCCCGCUCCCUGUCAAUGUCCCUCCAGCAGAACGCGAGAACGAGGGAGUAGGAGGAAAGAAGGACGAUGAAGAGGAAAAGAAAAAACAAGAGAAACCAAGAGAUGGGGUACAAAGUGAAACUUGUGCUGCUGAAAGUGGGACAAGUGACCAGCAACAGCAGCAAUCUGCACAGUUCUCGGUCAAAGAAACCAGUUACUCUGAGGGAAAUGUCAAGCUCAAGAUAGGCCUACAGGCCAAGCGCAUGAAGAAGCCUCCUAAGAUACUGGAGAACUAUGUCUGUCGUCCAGCCUUCCGAGCCACUGUAAGGCAUAGUGGAGGACGAGGCGGAGGACGUGUUAAUCGUGGGGCUGGAGCCAGUGAUGGGAGCAACCACACUUCUAGCCCAAGUCGUGGAAAAGGAGAGAAAAGCCCCUCUGUCAGCCGAGGAGCAUCUCUAUCAUCUAGUGCUCCUGCUGCUGCAUCUCCCUCACCUUCUCUCCCUCCUCCCAUUUCCACCAGCCCAGUAACUCCUGUGAAUGGAAGUGCUCCAGCAAAAAAGGCUCCUCAAAAACUUGCCUGUAAGUCAGAGGGAAAGGCUGAUGUAAAAUCCGUUGCUUCUUCAGAGAGUCCCCUUAAUCUUCAUCGCCCCAUGACAGAAAGCAAAUCACCCUCCUCUGGAAAGAAAAACCAGCUUCCACAAACCAACUCUGCUUCUACCCCAUCGCCACCGACAAUGCCCCCAGCUACCACAUUGCAACAGGACCCCAAAACAGAUGGGAUCUUAAAAACUCAAUACAAUUUUACUGAGGGGCAGAAGGAACAAGACAGGGGAAUUUCUGCCUGGGGUACUCCUACAGUAACUGAGAAGCUUGCUCAGCUCAUAGCUACAUGUCCGCCGUCAAAGUGCCCUAAGCCAAAAGCCCGAAAGGUGUCACCAGCUCCAGCACACAGUAGCUCGCCUCCCUUAAUUUCUAAUCUGCAGCACCCUGAACGGGCUAUGGCCAAUAGGAACACCUAUUCCAGGGCGGUGCACCUUGCCCCACCACCGGUUUCACGGCCCCCAGGUCGCCCAUAUGGGUCCAAAAAUAAAGACAGUAUUCUGGAGACA